AUUUCAUCAAUUACAUCAUUCUGCUGUAACAAAAAAUAAAAUAUAUGUUUUCAAUUUAAGUUUCCAUCAACAGAUGCAGAAACAUUGUAGUAGUUUCGAAAAUGACUGGAAUUUUCCCAACUGUUACGGCGCUGUUGACGGAAGGAAUAUUUCCAUUGUUGUUCCAUCAGUAGGAUGUGGAAGUGAAUAUUUCAACCACAAAAGAUAUACCAGUGUUGGCAGUUGUUGACUCAAACUAUUGUUUUACCUAUAUUAACGUUGAUAGCGAGGCGAGGGAUCUGAAUCAGCUGGAGGUAUUUUUCACAAUGUGUCACUUUCGAACUCCCUUGAAAAUGGCAUUCUUCCUAAUAGAUGUUACUAACCUUGUUAAAACCUUAUAAAAGUUAUAGGAGGGCUCUUACUGUUCUUAAUUACCGCCUGAGCCGUGAAGAAGAGUGGUAGAGAACGCCUUUGGCAUGUUGGUGAGCAAUAAUCAUCCAGAAACGUUCCCAUCUGCUAAUUAUCGAAGGAUAAAUUAUUUGUGUAUUAUUGAGUUUAGCAGAAACCCAUUCAAUAAGAAGUCAAAUAUAGGAGUUUGUUUGGCGGAGGGC